rnacentral:rRNA from 1 species
CUGAACCAGCCAAGUAGCGUGAAGGAUGAAGGUCCUACGGAUUGUAAACUUCUUUUAUACGGGAAUAAAGUAUCCUACGUGUAGGAUUUUGUAUGUACCGUAUGAAUAAGCAUCGGCUAACUCCGUGCCAGCAGCCGCGGUAAUACGGAGGAUGCGAGCGUUAUCCGGAUUUAUUGGGUUUAAAGGGAGCGCAGACGGGAGAUUAAGUCAGUUGUGAAAGUUUGCGG